AGCAGUGGGGAAUAUUGCACAAUGGGGGGAAACCCUGAUGCAGCGACGCCGCGUGAAGGAAGAAGUAUCUCGGUAUGUAAACUUCUAUCAGCAGGGAAGACAAUGACGGUACCUGACUAAGAAGCCCCGGCUAACUACGUGCC
rnacentral:rRNA from 1 species